AUCAUACUCCCUCCAUCCCAAUUUUUUUGUCUUAGAUUUGUCUAGAUAUGAAUGUAUCNNGUCACGUUUUAGUAUUUAGAUACAUCUAUUUUUAUUUUUAUACAAACCUAAGACAAGAAUUUUGGGACGGAGGAAGUAGUUC
rfam:Hordeum vulgare subsp. vulgare, WGS project CAJW01000000 data, contig: morex_contig_55252